rnacentral:rRNA from 1 species
CAGGCCUAACACAUGCAAGUCGAACGAGAAAUCGGGCACUCAGGCAACUGAGUGCCGGAGAGUAAAGUGGCGAACGGGUGAGUAACGCGUGGGUAACCUGCCCUUGAAUCUGGGAUAACUUCGCGAAAGCGUUGCUAAUACCGGAUAAUGCCUUGAGGGCCUUGGUCCUUGAGGUGAAAGGUGACCUCUCCAUGGAAGUUGCCGUUCAGGGAGGGGCCCGCGUCCCAUUAGCUUGUUGGUAAGGUAACGGCUUACCAAGGCGAUGAUGGGUAGCUGGUCUGAGAGGAUGAUCAGCCACACUGGCACUGAAACACGGGCCAGACUCCUACGGGAGGCAGCAGUGAGGAAUUUUGCGCAAUGGGGGAAACCCUGACGCAGCAACGCCGUGUGAGUGAAGAAGGCCUUCGGGUCGUAAAGCUCUGUCAAAAGGGAAAAAAGUUUUGCGGUGAAUAGCCGCAAGAUCUGAUGGUACCUUUAGAGGAAGCACCGGCUAACUCCGUGCCAGCAGCCGCGGUAAU